GGGCAAAGAAUGUGGCACCUUGUUCCUCACCUCUAUUAACAGAAAUAUCCCUGAAAGAAGAAGGAAGCAACUCAAAAGAGUGAUUUUCGCUAUGGCUCAUAGAAUCUACCAUUGGAGAUGUAAGAAACAACCAAACUAAAAAGAUAAAAAAGUGGCAGAAAAAGAAGAGAAGGAAAACCAACCUACUGUGACACAAUAAGGGUGAAGAAGAUGGUGAUUCUUCGAGAGAUAAAGAUGAUUGCUUGAAAGAAAAUCACCGACGAACUG
rnacentral:lncRNA from 1 species